rnacentral:rRNA from 1 species
UCAACGAGUCUUUAUCCUUGGCCGACAGGCACGGGUAAUCUUUGAAAUUUCAUCGUGAUGGGGAUAGAUCAUUGCAAUUGUUGGUCUUCAACGAGGAAUUCCUAGUAAGCGCGAGUCAUCAGCUCGCGUUGACUACGUCCCUGCCCUUUGUACACACCGCCCGUCGCUCCUACCGAUUGAAUGAUCCGGUGAAGUGUUCGGAUCGCGUCGACGUGAGCGGUUCGCUGCCCGCGACGUCGCGAGAAGUCCACUGAACCUUAUCAUUUAGAGGAAGGAGAAGUCGUAACAAGGUUUCCGUAGGUGAACCUGCGGAAGGAUCAUUGUCGAAUCCCUAAAAACAAAAAUGACCUGAGAAUAUGUUCAAUAGCAUGCAUCGGGUGUGAGGGUAAAACCUCUUCCUCCGUUGCUCUUUGUCCGACCAAUCGUUGGUUGUGUUAGGCAGUAAAAACCAAAAAUCGGCACGGGAAGUGCCAAGGACUUAUGAAAUGGGAUGCUUUGUCGUGGAAGGGGGACCGUUUGCGGUAUACCUUUAUCACGAUUCUCAAAAGGCCUCCGUAAAAGAAACCUUAUACGACUCUCGACAACG